AGUGAACGCUGGCGGUAGGCCUAACACAUGCGAGUCGAACGGCAGCACAGUAAGAGCUUGCCCUUACGGGUGGCGAGUGGCGGACGGGUGAGGAAUACAUCGGAAUCUACUUUUUCGGGGGGGAUAACGUAGGGAAACUGACGCUAAUACCGCAUACGACCUACGGGUGAAAGCAGGGGAUCUUCGGACCUUGCGCGAUUGAAUGAGCUGAUGUCGGAUUAGCUAGGUGGCGGGGUAAGGGCCCACCAAGGCGAAGAUCCGUAGCCGACCUGAGAGGAUGAUCGGUGACACGGGGACUGAGACACGGUCCAGACUCCUACGGGAGGCAGCAGUAGGGAAUCUUCCGCAAUGGGCGAAAGCCUGACGGAGCAACGCCGCGUGAGUGAUGAAGGUCGUCGUAUCGUAAAACUGUGUUAUUAGGGAAGAAAAAAUGUGUAAGUAACUAGGCACGUCUUGACGGUACCGAAUCAGAAAGCCACGGCUAACUACGUG
rnacentral:rRNA from 1 species